rnacentral:rRNA from 1 species
GACAGAGGGGGCAAGCGUUGCUCGGAAUUACUGGGCGUAAAGGGCGCGUAGGCGGCCACCGCAAGUCGACUGUGAAAUCUCCGGGCUUAACCCGGAAAGGUCAGCCGAUACUGCGGGGCUAGAGUGCAGAAGGGGCAACUGGAAUUCUCGGUGUAGCGGUGAAAUGCGUAGAUAUCGAGAGGAACACCUGCGGCGAAGGCGGGUUGCUGGGCUGACACUGACGCUGAUGCGCGAAAGCUAGGGGAGCGAACGGG